AUAGUGAAAAUUUGAAACUUUGACCAAGAUGACUGUUCAAAAAUAAAAAUUGGUCAUGCAUUGUUAUUUAUAAUGAUAUCCUCGUAUCCUCUUUUUUCUUUUUUGGGACAUCAAACACAAGCAUUGUUAUUUGGUGUGGUGAACCUCAAAUAGACUGAUUUGCAUUUCAUUUUUAAAACUGAACUGGGUUGAAAUUGGCUUAUUUACUUGGGAUCUGUGUGGUUUAAUGAUUUUUGACACUUUGGUUUUUAGAAUUUACCACCUGAGGUUGCUAAACAAUUCAAACGACAUGCAAUUUUGUCAUGACUAAGGGAUAGAGAGGGGAAUAGGAGAAUAAAUUGUGUAACUGGCAUAACAUUGUAUUUUGACAGAUCAGGAAUUCAGUAAUACACAACUGCUUUUCUCUCUAACUCUCUUUCCUUCUUUUCUCAAAUCUUCUUCUUCUUCCCUAUUUUGUUUCUUUCUUCGGCCCUUCUUCCUUCUCGUUUCUUCUGCAAUUCUGUUGCAUAGAUAACAAAUUUCAUCCUUCUACGGAUUUGUUGAUGAACACCAUUUUAAUGAAUGCACCAGUUCUGUGUUAAUCUGAAGUUGGAAUACCUAAGCAGGGCUAUAGAGUCUAGUUCUGCCUCUCUUCUUUUUUGCUUCCUGAAACAUAUAUGAAUUAUCUGUUGAAGUUAAUGAGUGAUGUUUCAUCUUGAAUGUGGCAUUACUUUGUGGUUAACAUUCCUUGAUAGUUUUAAACGGAACAAACUGGCUAGUAUUAUAGAAUUACCCCAUUUCUGAUCUCUACAUUUCUGUGAAAGUGCAAUGUCAAGUUGAAAGGCGUUCCUACUAAUUUAAUAGACUGUUGUAUUGCCAGAAGCUUGGAAAAGAGAAGGAAGAUAGCAUUUCUAGAAUGUUCUAACUGGUAACUCAAUGAAAUCCUUUUCCAGCAACAAGAUUGUUUGCUUGAAGUAUGUAAAUCUCUAUGAACUAGAAUUGAUGAACAUAAAUGUAACUUGAUGGGCUUCUAUUUGAACUAAUGUAUUGGAAACAAUGUUUAGUAUUAGUCUAUCAGAUGAUAAUAACUCCUUUAUUUGAUGUUAAUUGCAAAACAGGAAACUUUUUUUGUGAUCAUUCUGAUUUUUAUCCUUUUCAGGUGAUUAACGUUCUUUAUUUCUGGCUUCUUUCCUUCUAUAUGAUUAAUUUUAAACUAAUUGGGGUUGGCGGUAUUCAUUUCUUUCUGUUUAGAGCUAUGGCUUCACAAAGAUUCAAUGUUAUACCUAUUUGGGUUAUUGGGUUCAAUAUAAUGAGAUGUGACAAAGUUUUUAUGCUGUUUGUUAACUACUAAAAGUAUACUACCCUCCGUUAUCGGGAGCUUUGGCCCAACUGUUUAUAGUCUAAUUGAGACUAUACUCAUAUUUAGGCAGAGUUGCGCUUCAUCCUUGGUGAUUUAUUUUUAUUGUGGAUAUAUUUGUCCUGCUUAUGUUGAUGUUUAAUUCCUAUUUCUUCCAGAGAGUACUAAAUAUUUGGGGUGUGUCAUUGGCAUUAGUUUCUUAUUUUUAUUUUGCAAUUUUGACCAACUAUUCUUUGAGAUUGCUUACUUGGGAUGGUCAUUUUAACUUAAUUAAUAUGUUUGAUUUUGAUUUGGCUCUUUGUUAAUUACUUUUUCAGGACUUAGCAAACGUACUACUACA
rnacentral:misc_RNA from 1 species